GACGAACGCUGGCGGCGUGCCUAAUACAUGCAAGUAGAACGCACAGUUUAUACCGUAGCUUGCUACACCAUAGACUGUGAGUUGCGAACGGGUGAGUAACGCGUAGGUAACCUGCCUGGUAGCGGGGGAUAACUAUUGGAAACGAUAGCUAAUACCGCAUAAUAUUAAUUAUUGCAUGAUAAUUAAUUGAAAGGUGCAAUUGCACCACUACCAGAUGGACCUGCGUUGUAUUAGCUAGUAGGUGAGGUAACGGCUCACCUAGGCGACGAUACAUAGCCGACCUGAGAGGGUGAUCGGCCACACUGGGACUGAGACACGGCCCAGACUCCUACGGGAGGCAGCAGUAGGGAAUCUUCGGCAAUGGACGAAAGUCUGACCGAGCAACGCCGCGUGAGUGAAGAAGGUUUUCGGAUCGUAAAGCUCUGUUGUAAGAGAAGAAC
rnacentral:rRNA from 1 species